rnacentral:tmRNA from 1 species
GGGAGCGACUUGGCUUCGACAGGAGUAAGUCUGCUUAGAUGGCAUGUCGCUUUGGGCAAAGCGUAAAAAGCCCAAAUAAAAUUAAACGCAAACAACGUUAAAUUCGCUCCUGCUUACGCUAAAGUUGCGUAAGUUCAGUUGAGCCUGAAAUUUAAGUCAUACUAUCUAGCUUAAUUUUCGGUCAUUUUUGAUAGUGUAGCCUUGCGUUUGACAAGCGUUGAGGUGAAAUAAAGUCUUAGCCUUGCUUUUGAGUUUUGGAAGAUGAGCGAAGUAGGGUGAAGUAGUCAUCUUUGCUAAGCAUGUAGAGGUCUUUGUGGGAUUAUUUUUGGACAGGGGUUCGAUUCCCCUCGCUUCCACCA